rnacentral:rRNA from 1 species
CCUACGGGAGGCAGCAGUGAGGAAUAUUGGUCAAUGGGCGGGAGCCUGAACCAGCCAAGUCGCGUGAGGGAAGAAGGUACAGCGUAUCGUAAACCUCUUUUGUCAGGGAACAAAGGCGGGGACUAGUCCCCGGAUGAGGGUACCUGAUGAAAAAGCAUCGGCUAACUCCGUGCCAGCGGCCGCGGUAAUACGGAGGGUGCGAGCGUUAUCCGGAUUUUUUGGGUUUAAAGGUUGCGCAGGCGGCCUGUUAAGUCAGCGGUAAAAGGCCGGGGCUCAACCCCAGAGAGACGUUGAAACUGGCUGGAUGGAGUUGGAGAGAGGUACGCGGAAUUCGCGGUGUAGCGGUGAAAUGCUUAGAUAUCGCGCAGAACCCCGAUUGCGAAGGCAGCGUACCGGCUUCACACUGACGCGGAGGCACGAAAGCGUGGGUAUCGAACAGGAUUAGAUACCCCGGUAGUC